rnacentral:rRNA from 1 species
GACGAACGCUGGCGGCGCGCUUAACACAUGCAAGUCGAACGGAAAGGCCUGCUUUCCCUUGUGGUUUGCGGGUACUCGAGUGGCGAACGGGUGCGUAACACGUGAGUGAUCUGCCCCCAACUUGGGUAUAAGCCUGGGAAACUGGGUCUAAUUCCCGAUAGGACUGCAGGGUGGUGCCUGUGGUGGCAAACGAUUUUCUAGUGGUUGGGGAUGAGCUCGCGGCCUAUCAGCUUGUUGGUGGGGUAAUGGCCUACCAAGGCGGCGACGGGUAGCCGGCCGGAGAGGGUGGACGGCGACAUUGAGACUCGGACACGACUCAGACGGCUGGGGGAGGCAGGGGUGGGGAAGCUUGGAGAGUGGGCGGAAGCGAGCAGCAGCGACGCCGCGAGGGGGAUGAUGGCCUUCGAGAUGUAAAUUCUUUUGGACAACGAGAAAGCCACGUGGUUGUAAGGGUCGUGACGGUAGUGGAAGAGAAAGCCACGGCUAACUACGUG